GAUGAACGCUGGCGGCGUGCCUAAUACAUGCAAGUCGAGCGAACCGGGGACGGGUAAGUAACACGUGGCUACCCUUCUAUAAGACUGGGGUCCCUUCGCGAACCCGGAGAUCAACCGGACACUUAUAGAUGGUUGCGCGCUGCAUUAGCUAGUUGGUAAGGUACCGGCGUACCAAGGCAACGAUGCAUAGCCGACCUGCGAGGGUGAUCGGCCACACUGGAACUGAGACACGGUCCAGACUCCUACGGGAGGCAGCAGUAGGGAAUCUUCGGCAAUGGGCGAAAGCCUGACGGAGCAACGCCGCGUGUGUGAUGAAGGUCUUCGGAUCGUAAAACUCUGUAAUUAGGGAAGCGUUACCUAAUCAGAAAGCCACGGCUAACUACGUGCCAGCAGCCGCGGUAAUUC
rnacentral:rRNA from 1 species